CGCCAGCCCGCUCAGAAACUCAAAGGAAUUGACGGGGGCCCGCACAAGCGGUGGAGCAUGUGGUUUAAUUCGAUGAUACGCGAGGAACCUUACCUGGGCUCAAAUGUAUGUUGACGUAUUCUGAAAGGGAUACUUCUUCGGACAAUAUACAAGGUGCUGCAUGGUUGUCGUCAGCUCGUGCCGUGAGGUGUCGGGUUAAGUCCCAUAACGAGCGCAACCCUAUCAUUAGUUGCCAUCAGGUCAAGCUGGGGACUCUAAUGAAACUGCCUACGCAAGUAGUGAGGAAGGUGGGGAUGACGUCAAAUCAGCACGGCCCUUACGUCCAGGGCUACACACGUGCUACAAUGGCCGGUACAAAGGGCAGCUACACUGCGAGGUGAAGCCAAUCCCGUAAAAUCGGUCUCAGUCCGGAUUGGAGUCUGCAACUCGACUCCAUGAAGUUGGAAUCGCUAGUAAUCGUGGAUCAGCAUGCCACGGUGAAUACGUUCCCGGGCCUU
rnacentral:rRNA from 1 species